rnacentral:rRNA from 1 species
UACGGAGGGUGCAAGCGUUAUCCGGAUUCACUGGGUUUAAAGGGUGCGUAGGUGGAUUAGUAAGUCAGUGGUGAAAUCUCCGAGCUUAACUCGGAAACUGCCAUUGAUACUAUUAGUCUUGAAUUAUCUGGAGGUGAGCGGAAUAUGUCAUGUAGCGGUGAAAUGCUUAGAUAUGACAUAGAACACCAAUUGCGAAGGCAGCAGGCUACACAAAUAUUGACGCUGAGGCACGAAAGCGUGGGGAUCAAACAGG